GAAAAAGAUCUGAAGAGUAUUUGU
rnacentral:siRNA from 1 species